rnacentral:lncRNA from 1 species
UACACAAAUUCAAAGCCCUAAUCCCAAACAAACAACUACGCGCCUGUGCUUCUUCUUCUCCAAAAGCACCCGAAUCCAACCCUAAUAAUGUCAAAAAUUGUGCGAUUACUCUCUUCAUCCAUUUGCCUUUCUCUCCUCUUACCAAAGAUAACCGUUUCUGACGCGAAAAUUUGCAUUCCCGUCACUCGCUCGAUUUGGAGAUAAGGCACGCGAUUGGAAGCUUCUAGGAACGAUUUGCUGGAUGAGUGUGAGGCGUUGGAUUGAUUCCCCUCAAUCCAAGCCCCACAUUCAUUAGGAAUUUGUUCUAAUUAGGGAAUUUUAGAUGGAUUUAGAGGGGGGAAGGACUCGGCUAACAAAAUUUAGAGAAAAAGUUAAAAGGGUUUGGGGAACUGAUGGUUUCAGGGUUUAUUUUUAUUCUUGAUGUGUUCUUUCAAAGUGUACGAGAAACAUACAUACAAUUUUUAUUUAUUGAAUUCUGAUUUGAGUUCUAGUGAGAUACAAAUUGAAGUUCGAGGUUGGUUUUUUUACUGUCGUCAUGUUGAUUUGUUGCUGAACCUCGCUAGGAUUUGGAGUCGAGAGUUGUAUUCUUCAGUUGAUAAUUGUAUAAAUGAGAUUUGCAACUUCAGGUUCAAUUUUCCUCUCUUUUAUUCUAUGCGACUCAGUUUUGUUUCAGUGUUUUUGAUCUAUGAGAUUCACUCUAGAGUGGUCUGUUUUGUGUUGUGAUUGAAUUUCUUGUUGAAUGAAUCAAUUCUCAGUGGCAUGAUGUAUUUAAGUAUGUUUAGUUAGUAAAAGUUAAGUUUGAAGGGUCGUUCUCUGUGUUCAUAUGCUUUAACAAUUAUUAUUGUGUCGAGUUUUUCA